ACACUGAGCUCAGGGAGGGUCGGCAACGGACCACCCAGAGCCGGAAAGUCUGUCAAACUACGUCAUUUAGAGGAAGUAAAAGUCGUAACAAGGUUUCCGUAGGUGAACCCCUUGCGGAAGGAUCAUUACCGAGUUGAUUCGGGCUCCGUCCCGAUCCUCCCACCCUUUGUAUACCUACCUCUGUUGCUUUGGCGGGCCGCGGUCUUUCCGCGGCCGCCCCCCGAUUUUGGGGGGUGGCUAGUGCCCGCCAGAGGACUAUCAAACUCCAGUUAGUAAACGUUGCGUUCAGUCUGAAAAAAAUAUUAAAUAAACUAAAACUUUCAACAACGGAUCUCUUGGUUCUGGCAUCGAUGAAGGCUAACGCAGCGAAAUGCGAUAAGUAAUGUGAAUUGCAGAAUUCAGUGAAUCAUCGAAUCUUUGAACCGCACAUUGCGCCCCUUGGUAUUCCGGGGGGCAUGCCUGUUCGAGCGUCAUUUCAACCCUCAAGCUCUGCUUGGUAUUGGGCACCGUCCUUUGCGGGCGCGCCUCAAACGACCUCGGCGGUGGCGUCUUGCCUCUACUCAAGCGUAGUAGAAUACACCUCGCUUCGGGAGCGUAAGGCGUCGCCCGCCGGACGAACCUUCUGAACUUUUCUCAAGGUUGACCUCGGAUCAGGCUUCGAGGCGUAAGCUCUGCCCGAGGACGG
rnacentral:rRNA from 1 species